rnacentral:rRNA from 1 species
UACGUAGGUGGCGAGCGUUGUCCGGAAUUACUGGGUGUAAAGGGCGUGUAGGCGGGGCGGCAAGUCAGUGGUGAAAUUCCGGGGCUUAACCCCGGCGCUGCAUCUGAAACUGUCGUUCUUGAGUGUCGGAGAGGAAGGUGGAAUUCCCGGUGUAGCGGUGAAAUGCGUAGAGAUUAGGAGGAACACCAGUGGCGAAGGCACUGUCCUGGGCCGGCACUGACGCUGAGGCGCGACAGAAUGGGGAGCGAACGGG